rnacentral:rRNA from 1 species
UACGGAGGGGGCUAGCGUUGUUCGGAAUUACUGGGCGUAAAGCGCACGUAGGCGGCUUUGUAAGUUAGAGGUGAAAGCCCGGAGCUCAACUCCGGAAUUGCCUUUAAGACUGCAUCGCUUGAAUCAUGGAGAGGUGAGUGGAAUUCCGAGUGUAGGGGUGAAAUUCGUAGAUAUUCGGAAGAACACCAGUGGCGAAGGCGACUCACUGGACAUGUAUUGACGCUGAGGUGCGAAAGCGUGGGGAGCAAACAGG